rnacentral:rRNA from 1 species
AGCGAACGCUGGCGGCAGGCUUAACACAUGCAAGUCGAGCGGGCCCUUCGGGGUCAGCGGCAGACGGGUGAGUAACGCGUGGGAACGUGCCCUUCGGUUCGGAAUAACUCAGGGAAACUUGAGCUAAUACCGGAUACGCCCUUAUGGGGAAAGGCUUGCUGCCGAAGGAUCGGCCCGCGUCUGAUUAGCUAGUUGGUGAGGUUAUGGCUCACCAAGGCGACGAUCAGUAGCUGGUCUGAGAGGAUGAUCAGCCACACUGGGACUGAGACACGGCCCAGACUCCUACGGGAGGCAGCAGUGGGGAAUAUUGGACAAUGGGGGCAACCCUGAUCCAGCCAUGCUGCGUGAGUGAUGACGGCCUUAGGGUUGUAAAGCUCUUUUCUCCGGGACGAUAAUGACGGUACCGGAGGAAUAAGCCCCGGCUAACUUCGUG